rnacentral:snoRNA from 1 species
GCUGAUGAGCCCAAAUUGACGUCGCUUAUUUGAGGCAGCGUGAGAAGGCAUACUGUUGCUGACA